CCAGCGGGCACCACUGGCGGCAGACGGCGACGGGGAGGGGCCUGCACUCUUGCGAAUCCAGAGACCGGCACCAGCUGAAUGAAUGUCCCCAGGACGUCACACUGGCCCCCUCUAUCGAUGGCCCUGUGCUAAUGAGACCAGAUGAGCAAGACGUGCUUGGCUGAGGUCCAGGCCACUGUCCAGGGACUGCCAUGAGUGUCUGUCCGCCUUGGUGUCAGCGGGAGCUGGCUCGUCCUCUGGUGGGGGCCGUCCUCUGUGGCAGGGUGUCCUGUGCCCUGGCGGGAGCACUCCUCACCACGUUGUGACAACCCACAGCACCUCCAGAGGUGGUCCCCUGUCCCCUGGGGGACACAACAGCUGCCUAUUGAGAACCGCUGGCUCACAGAACAUCUCAUCCUGUGGAUCCUGCCCAGUGUCUGUUGCAUUCGACCAAGGCACGCGUUUACAGCAAAGUCAGGGGUGGGCUUGACCA